UAAAUCUUAAGCUAAAUAUUCGUUUUUUAAUUGAAAUAUCUGCUCGUGCGACUUUAAAUUGACCUAGAAAACUCUUGUUGGUUUUUGUUUAUUCAAUCUUCUCGUCGGGAAUAGGGAAAAAAUUGCAUGUUGAAAUGGUGAAAAAACUUGGAGAUCUUUUCUGGAAUCUAUAAUUUUGUUGGGUUGAAAUGGUGAGGAAAUGUUGAGAAUUUUGUGUAACUAAAACUCUAGAAUUUAUUGUUUUUGUUGGGUUGAAAUGAUGAAAAACUUUGGAGAAAU